ACACGUUACAAACAUUUUAGGACACGGCUGAGCAGCGCAACGGAGCCAAGCUAAAACUAUUGAGAGAAAGCAAAACGGUCAUGUAGCUUUAGCUGUUGCAACUGUGGAGCCCUGAAUCGGAGUGCAUUUGUAGGAACACUGCACAUUUUGAUGACAUGUUUUAACACUGCUGAAGCAAACUAAAACUUGCCUGCAGUCUCGUAUAGCCUAGUCAAUUUUGGAUACAUCACGGCCAUCAAACGUUAGUUGCUUCACAAAUAGGCUAAGGUUUCUUAAGAAAUCAAGUGUUCCGUGUUCGAUAGCAGCAACAGUGUGCUGCUUAAGAGACGGGUGGAUUGGUGGCCUGUCCGGAGUGUGUUCCUGCCUCUCGCCCGGUGCACGCUGGGAUAGGCUCCGGCAUCCCCUGCGACCCUGCCCUGGGUAAGUGGGUAUAGAUGGAUGAUGCUGUGCCAGUCCAGGAUAAUCCUCUCCAGCUGUUUCCACGGCUCCCAGCCGUGUGAGCCGGGCUGUGUGCCGUGUGCACCAUGUGUGCGGAGCUGCAUCGCACUUCUAGGCCGUGGUGGCGAGAGACCACCAGGGCUACCCCUCAUCAUUACACAGGCCACACCCCCUCUCUCCCCAACCCUAUGGGACAGUGCUUCGCUCCGGCUCAUCCUGUUCAUUCACAACCACGCCGCCCCCGCCCUUCCUAAAAUGUGACCGAGCAAGAGGGGGAAGCGCCAGCACAGUAGCCAGGCCUCGACACGGCGUGUUUCAGCGCACUGCACCGUGUUCCCUUUGGUAAAUAAAGGCAUUGCAACAAAGGGCUUCUCAGAAUUUGUUUUCGUCCCCACGGUGACAUAAUGAUAUUUCUGUUAGUGCUCCAGCAGGCUGCACUUCCUGUUGGCUGUGGUUUAGUCGCAGCUGUGACUUUGAGGUUUCGCUUUUUGGCUGUGUUCGAGCUGGAGACUUCUUUCGGACACUCCAGUCAGAGGAAGUCUUCAAUAACAAGUCUCGCAAUUUCACA